rnacentral:tRNA from 2 species
GCCCGAGUGGCGAAAUUGGUAGACGCACAGCACUCAAAAUGCUGCGAUCUAGGUCAUGUCGGUUCGAGUCCGACCUCGGGUA